UAGGGAAUCUUCGGCAAUGGGGGGAACCCUGACCGAGCAACGCCGCGUGAGUGAAGAAGGUUUUCGGAUCGUAAAGCUCUGUUGUUAAGGAAGAACGAGUGUGAGAAUGGAAAGUUCAUGCUGUGACGGUACUUAACCAGAAAGGGACGGCUAACUACGUGCCAGCAGCCGCGGUAAUACGUAGGUCCCGAGCGUUGUCCGGAUUUAUUGGGCGUAAAGCGAGCGCAGGCGGUUAGAAAAGUCUGAAGUGAAAGGCAGUGGCUCAACCAUUGUAGGCUUUGGAAACUGUUUAACUUGAGUGCAGAAGGGGAGAGUGGAAUUCCAUGUGUAGCGGUGAAAUGCGUAGAUAUAUGGAGGAACACCGGUGGCGAAAGCGGCUCUCUGGUCUGUAACUGACGCUGAUGUGCGAAAGCGUGGGGAGCGAACAGG
rnacentral:rRNA from 1 species